AGCACCUCGGAGCUCCGACCCCCAAGUUCUCCUCCACAGCCACGGCCUGCGUUGCACCCCGGCUCACCUUUUCGUCCCACCCACCACCACCCCCCCUCGCCGUUCAGUGCUGUCCUGGGCGCUUGCAACCUGCCGGGUGAUUUAGCAGACUGCCCCCUGCUCCUGCUCUGGUUCCUGCUCCUGCUCCUGCUCCUGCUCCUGCUCCUGCUCCUCCUCCUCCUCCUCCUCCCAGCUCUCGCUCUCGCCUCCUCCUCCAGUCGGGGCGCCCAGACUUCGCGGAGCGCAGCGCCCGCCGCCCGCAGCGCGCAGGACCGCCCAGGCCGCCGCGCUCCAGGCUCCUGCUGGCCGCAGCCCGGGGGCACCGGCGCGGGCAAAGGACGCUCGGGGGCCAGAGCCAGACGCUGCGAGAAGCCGGGCUGUGAUAAGGCUCGGGACAGAAGCGAGCGCGUUCCGAGUGAGACUUCGGGAGCCAGCGGGGCGCCCCGGGUCACCCAGUGCGCCCGCUGCACGCACCGUCCACAAGCAAGUAAACAUAUCACUUGAACCACUGAAAGAGGAUGGAAGGCAAGAAUUCCUAUGAACAUAUGUGAUCCCUUGAUGCAGAACUUCUCACAAGAAAGGAGAAAGGGCAUAUAUACCAGCUGUCUUGGAAGGAGCUUUUUAAAUAAUCAUAAAGGCGUGUGUGUGUGUGUGUGUGUGUGUGUGUGUGUGUGUAAUGCUUGAAACAGACUUUGCCUUUGCCAUAACUGCUCCUUCUAUGAUUGGACCUGCAUGACAGCUAAAAUAGAAGAACUAUCAUCAAAAACCUCUCCUUAAUAUCUCUGCGUAUUCAAUUAAGUAACAUGGUACCCUACAAAGGGAUUUUAUGCUGUACACCUUUGAUGAGAGGCUGGCUGAAACUUGGCAGCUUGAAGAACCUCUCAGAAGAGAUUCUACUGGGGAAACCCCUGCUCUCACAUCAGACACAGCAAUUUCUGAGCUGGAGAUGCUGCCCCUGACCUAAUAAUUCAUUGCAUCUUUACCUUCAAUCCUGGGGCUGCUGCUCCCAGCUUUACCACAACUGUAUUUAGUAAACUGCUACCAAGAGCCACUCCACAAAAUUUCUAUGGUCCAGAAAGGACAAAAUUACACUGUUUUCUGCAUCUAUCCCAGCUCCACUCCUGAGUACUAUUUUGUUUUUUCUCUCACAGUUUAUUCACCUUUCAGAAAUAGUUUUUGUAUCUGCAAAAGCAUCAUUAUGAAAGAAACAAAAUCUUUUAAGAAAAUAUCACUAGUUUUUUGGCCUUUGUUUUAUCGAUAUUGUGUAGAGUUCUUAUUCUAAUUCUGCAGUUUGCUUCUGUUGAUUGUAAUCUGAUGUUCUCCCCUCACUGUCCUUAUCACCUAAAGUAACUUCUUUGAUUGCUCUGCAUUUCAGUUGUGCCAUGUCUAAAAUGUGAAUGACAAUUCCUGCCUUAUAGACCUAUUGUGAGGAGUAAAGAAAAGGUAGUACAACAUAAGCCGUGAAGAAUGAUAGGCGGUAUUACAAUCAUCAUUAUUAUUCUUGUGUGGGGUGUUGUGCAAAUAAUCCUGACCUAAACUGAGGUGAAGAAUGUGGUCCUGGCCUUGGAGAAAAUAAAGAGAGAUGGGUCCAGGCCA
ensembl:lncRNA